UUCAAUAAAAGAAAUUAAAACUCAUGUCACUUGGGCUCAAAACUGUUGCUCUCCUUUGCUACCCCGUAGCUGUAGCACAGAUAGUGUGUUAGAGGAGCGAGCAGAACACGUAACGCCUGGAGAUCAGAGGGACAGGCCUUGUGCAGUAAUAGUAAGGCCAGUGUACUGGCAGGCAUUUGGAGGGACUGUCAUACACGAGUCAUGGUGCCAGAGUCUACUUAAUGUAAUACUGAAACGAUCCUAUGACUGGGGACCAUUUUUGCAGUGAGUUUGCUGGGGAGAACCUGAAGAUCUAAGCGAUCUGUGUAGCCCCCACAGACAAUGGGGACGCUGAAUUGGGAUGAGCUGAAAAUCAGAUUUUGUCUGUUUGACCACAGAGACUGCACUCAAGUCAGACUAGAACAUCAGAGUACAAAUAAGCCAAAAGGACUUUAUCUCCAAGAACUGCAGUCUGAAGAGGACAGAUACACAGACAAUAACUAAAAUGUGUUUGUAGCCAAGUCCAGGGAAGGUGGUACCAGGGAGAGUGAACGCCUAACUCAGACUGGGAACAGAAUGCCAGUGACAUCUGGAGACAGUGUCCCAAGGAAAAUAGUAUUUCAGUUAAAGGUUAAUCAACCUUUCUUUUUCCAGAACUGGGAAUGAAGCCGCCGAGUCUGAAUUUGCACAGGCCAGGCAAGUGCUUGGCGGCUCAGCUACCUCCCCAGACCCUGUGUUUUGUUUUUGUUGUGUUUGUUUGUUUGCAUUUGAGACAGGUUCUCACUGGCAGUCCAAUACCACCUUGGAUUUAACAUGUAUCCCUGGCUGGCUGGGAGUUCGAGAUCCAGAGCCCCAGCCCCCUGAGCACUGGAAUCGCAGAACAAAACGGGAAUGUACGUUCAGUAGAGCAAGCUGCUGGAGGCCAGAGAGCACCUUGGGGUAAGUGUGCCACCCGCUAUGCUCCAUUCUCUUCACUCCUGAGUGUCAGCCUUCCGGGAUUAUUGUGGGAAAUGCUCAGAAAAGUGCCCAGCACCUAAGCAUGCACUGGAUGGUCAAUAUGACGGACAUGUAUUUGACCUCAUACAUUUUUUAAGCAAUCGUGUCUGAAGUCCAAGGUUUUUCUUCCUUAUGGCUCAUGGAGGUUACUCUGAUUCUAGGAAAUCUGUUCAAUAUGUUUGGCAUUUGAAAAAUAAAAUGAUGGAACAACAGAGUGGCGUAUGCUUGUAAUCUCGGCCCUCAGGAGGGAGGGGCAGGGAAAAUCAACAUCGAGGCCAACUUGUGCCACACAGCAAGAACCUGUCUAAGACAAACAACAAGCAAAAGCAAGCACGAUCGGCUCCUUCCUCUCUGCCGGCGGGCUCGGCUGUACCUAGGAGCGUCCAUCGUUCUCCUCGGGUUCCGAGGCUUGGGCGGAGUAAGCUUGUCUGCUCCCUGAAGAACAGCGGCAGCAGCACGUGGACAUUCACCCGACUUAGCUACACUCUGUGGACGCUCAGGACAACUCGCGGGAAUCCGUUCUGGCCUCCGGCCAUGUCGGUUUCAGGGAAUGAAUGCAGCUCAUCGGGGUUGGUCUGAGCACCUUCUCCCGCUUGCUGUGCCAUCUGGCUGGCCUAAGGGCUGGUGAAAGUCUUCAACCUCUCUGUGUGAGUGUUUGCCUACAUGUAUGUGCAUGUGCUAUGUGCAUGCAUGAUGUCUACAGAGGCCAGAAGAGGGCACUCAAUUUCCUGGAACUGGAGUUGUCGGUUGUGAGCUGCCAUGGGGUACUAAGAACUGAUCCCCCUCUGCAGGGCAGCAAGCACUUCUAGCCCCUGGGCCAUCUCUCCAGCCGCACCCUGCUACUGUCUAGUCACAGGAAUAUGCGGAAGUGCUCCGGGAACACCUUCUCCCCCUGCUGCUGCUGACUCCAGCACUGCUGCAGGACCCGGAUUCUUUCAGCGCGGCCUGGGGCUUUGCCAGUGGAGAAGCUUGUCAUCCGAUGGGGCUCCCUUCCCGACCCUGGUGCUCCAGCCUCCAGUUCUGGGAGGUGGCGGGGUGAUGGAGUCAAGAACGAGGGUGGAAGGCCAGGGAGAGAGCAGCUCUGCACAGACAAUUACAAUGGGCUCAAAACCCCAGAACAUUUACCUUUUCCAACCGAAUGACUCUAUAAAAUGGACACCUGCCAUGUUCCUAACAUGAAUCACUGUACUUAGAGGCACACACAAGUGCAGUGCAGUCACGCCUAGUUGCUCACUGAUGUCUCAGAUCCAAUGCUCAGGGUUCAGUGCCUGAGCCAAAUGUUAAAGUUAUUUGUUCUUGUCAAUAAACUAAACUUUACGGUGACCCUCUAUUUUUAUUAUGCCACAUGUAUUUUAAGAGAGGUGGCUCCUGCUCAAGCUGGCUCUAGUGAGGGGCUCUAGUGAGGCCUGCUGAAUGCCAAGGAAGCGCUUCCCCUGGGGAUGCCCCAUCAGCAUGCAAGGCUGGCUAGGUCUGUGUAGUUUUUCCUGGCUCUAGGAAAGCCACCCUCUCAAUGAUACUGCACCAUAUCAGGAAAGUCUUUUGGGGUCUGGGGCUUCAAGUGCAGUGUUGCCUGGUCCUCAGCCUGCUACAGAGAUGCUGUUUGGAAAUGAAAUAAAAUAUGAAAAAAAAAACCCCACAAAAUAACAAAUGAAGCAAAGCAAAGACUGACCCCUACACACACAGCUGUGAAAUACCAUGUGCCAAACAGCCAAAAUGCACAGGUGACUUCCCGUUCAUCUCUCUUAGGCCCAGAUGUAACCACACAUUCCUGUCUGCCGAGCUGCAAAGGGCCAGGGCCACACUUGUUGUGAGUGUGAGGAUGGGCCUGUCGUCUGGAUGUUUGGAGUAGUUUCCCUUAAAAAAUGCUGGGGACCUAGAUGUGUGAGAAUUUGGGUGGUCUUGAGAGACUCCCCCACGCAGACCCACAGCCACACUGUGGCAGCUGGAUGGAUGGAGCAGGUGCAUGGGAACAGAGCUUUCAUAUCCCCAGUCAGUGAAGCUGUGUGGUAAAUGGGGCUUUCUGCUCCAAAAAGAGAAGAAAAAAAAUCACAGCUGUAUUUCCUUUUACCCCCCAAAAGCUUUAACGCUUAAGUUUUGGAAUUCAAGCAAUACAAUAAAAAUAUAUAACUUU
rnacentral:sRNA from 1 species